UACGGAGGGGGCUAGCGUUGUUCGGAAUUACUGGGCGUAAAGCGCACGUAGGCGGCUUUGCAAGUCAGAGGUGAAAGCCCGGGGCUCAACCCCGGAAUUGCCUUUGAGACUGCAUCGCUAGAAUUGUGGAGAGGUAAGUGGAAUUCCGAGUGUAGAGGUGAAAUUCGUAGAUAUUCGGAAAGAACACCAGUGGACGAAGGCGACUUACUGGACACAUAUUGACGCUGAGGUGCGAAAGCGUGGGGAGCAAACAGG
rnacentral:rRNA from 1 species